rnacentral:rRNA from 1 species
AUUGAACGCUGGCGGCAGGCCUAACACAUGCAAGUCGAACGGUAACAGGAAACAGCUUGCUGUUUCGCUGACGAGUGGCGGACGGGUGAGUAAUGUCUGGGAAACUGCCUGAUGGAGGGGGAUAACUACUGGAAACGGUAGCUAAUACCGCAUAACGUCGCAAGACCAAAGAGGGGGACCUUCGGGCCUCUUGCCAUCGGAUGUGCCCAGAUGGGAUUAGCUUGUUGGUGGGGUAACGGCUCACCAAGGCGACGAUCCCUAGCUGGUCCGAGAGGAUGACCAGCCACACUGGAGCUGAGACACGGUCCAGACUCCUACGGGAGGCAGCAGUGGGGAAUAUUGCACAAUGGGCGCAAGCCUGAUGCAGCCAUGCCGCGUGUAUGAAGAAGGCCUUCGGGUUGUAUAGUACUUUCAGCGGGGAGGAAGGGAGUAAAGUUAAUACCUUUACUCAUUGACGUUACCCGCAGAAGAAGCACCGGCUAACUCCGUGCCAGCCGCCGCCGUAA